rnacentral:rRNA from 1 species
CUGCCGAAAGUCCAAGGGUUCCUGCGUAAAGCUAAUCUGCGCAGGGUUAGCCGGCUCCUAAGGCGAGGCCGAAAGGCGUAGUCGAUGGGAAUGAGGUGAAUAUUCCUCAGCCUGCGGGUGGUGACGAAUUCCGUAUAUCGUUGGUCCUUAUCGGAUUGGAUCGGCGGUGAAGGGGUUCCAGGAAAUAGCCCCCGCGUAUAGACCGUACCCGAAACCGACACAGGUGGACUGGUAGAGCAUACCAAGGCGAUUGAGAGAACUAUGCUGAAGGAACUCGGCAAAUUGCCUCCGUAACUUCGGAAGAAGGAGGACCUCUUCUUGGGCAACCAGGAGGGGGUGGCACAGACCAGGGGGUAGCGACUGUUUACCAAAAACACAGGGCUCUGCGAAGUCGAAAGACGACGUAUAGGGUCUGACGCCUGCCCGGUGCCGGAAGGUUAAGAGGAGAUGUGCAAGCAUUGAAUCGAAGCCCCGGUAAACGGCGGCCGUAACAAUAACGGUCCUAAGGUAGCGAAAUUCCUUGUCGGGUAAGUUCCGACCUGCACGAAGGGCGUAACGACUUCCCCGCUGUCUCCAGCAUAGACUCAGUGAAAUUGAAUUCCCCGUGAAGAUGCGGGGUUCCUGCGGUUAGACGGAAAGACCCCAUGAACCUUUACUACAACUUUGCAUUGGCGUUCGUGACGGCAUGUGUAGGAUAGGUGGUAGACUUUGAAGCCUGGGCGCUAGCUCGGGUGGAGUCACCCUUGAAAUACCACCCUUGUUGUUAUGCACGUCUAACCGCGGCUCGUAAUCCGGGUCCGGGACAAUGCAUGGUGGGUAGUUUGACUGGGGCGGUCGCCUCCCAAAGUGUAACGGAGGCGCGCGAUGGUGGGCUCAGAGCGGUCGGAAAUCGCUCGUCGAGUGCAAUGGCAUAAGCCCGCCUGACUGCGAGACUGACAAGUCAAGCAGAGACGAAAGUCGGUCAUAGUGAUCCGGUGGUCCCACGUGGACGGGCCAUCGCUCAACGGAUAAAAGGUACUCUGGGGAUAACAGGCUGAUGAUGCCCUAGCGUCCACAGCGACGGCAUCGUUUGGCACCUCGAUGUCGACUCAUCACAUCCUGGGGCUGGAGCAGGUCCCAAGGGUUCGGCUGUUCGCCGAUUAAAGUGGUACGUGAGUUGGGUUCAGAACGUCGUGAGACAGUUCGGUCCCUAUCUGCCGUGGGUGUAGGAGAAUUGAGAGGAUCUGUCCUUAGUACGAGAGGACCGGGAUGGACGUACCUCUGGUGGACCUGUUGUGGCGCCAGCCGCAUCGCAGGGUAGCUAUGUACGGACGGGAUAACCGCUGAAAGCAUCUAAGCGGGAAACCCACCUCAAAACUAUUUCUCCCUGAAGAGUCGUGGUAGACCACCACGUCGAUAGGCCGGGUGUGGAAGUGCAGCAAUGCAUGAAGCUUACCGGUACUAAUCACUCAAAAAA